GAUGAACGCUGGCGGCGUGCCUAACACAUGCAAGUCGAGCGAUUCUCUUCGGAGAAGAGCGGCGGACGGGUGAGUAACGCGUGGGUAACCUGCCCUGUACACACGGAUAACAUACCGAAAGGUAUGCUAAUACGAGAUAAUAUGCUUUUAUCGCAUGGUAGAAGUAUCAAAGCUUUUGCGGUACAGGAUGGACCCGCGUCUGAUUAGCUAGUUGGUGAGGUAACGGCUCACCAAGGCGACGAUCAGUAGCCGACCUGAGAGGGUGAUCGGCCACAUUGGAACUGAGACACGGUCCAAACUCCUACGGGUGGCUG
rnacentral:rRNA from 1 species